rnacentral:rRNA from 1 species
UGAGUAACACGUGGGUGAUCUGCCCUGCACUUUGGGAUAAGCCUGGGAAACUGGGUCUAAUACCGAAUACACCCUGCUGGUCGCAUGGCCUGGUGGGGGAAAGCUUUUGCGGUGUGGGAUGGGCCCGCGGCCUAUCAGCUUGUUGGUGGGGUGAUGGCCUACCAAGGCGACGACGGGUAGCCGGCCUGAGAGGGUGACCGGCCACACUGGGACUGAGAUACGGCCCAGACUCCUACGGGAGGCAGCAGUGGGGAAUAUUGCACAAUGGGCGCAAGCCUGAUGCAGCGACGCCGCGUGAGGGAUGACGGCCUUCGGGUUGUAAACCUCUUUCAAUAGGGACGAAGCGUAAGUGACGGUACCUAUAGAAGAAGGACCGGCCAACUACGUGCCAGCAGCCGCGGUAAUACGUAGGGUCCGAGCGUUGUCCGGAAUUACUGGGCGUAAAGAGCUCGUAGGUGGUUUGUCG